GUUUGCGCGUAUGAAACCUGCUCCGCAGAUCCAUCCAUUCUUUCUUGAAUGUACAGUCAACAGACUGAGCACAUAACCUCGAAAGGGUAUAAGUAGGCUCUCAGUAUAAAGGUAUCUCCAGGGCGUCUUUAGGGUCUUCGCCGAACCCAAAAGUUCUCUGGGUGUUUUGAAUGAACACCCUUGGAUCGGACCCAGAAAUGACCCACCUCAAACCUAAUUUCGGGUUUCAUUCUAAGGCGAAUGGAGCUCGGCCACGUCCAGAAACACUUCUGUAGCAGUUAGGCUGCCCGAUCAGGGGGGUUUGCCUUACUGUUCAAUGGCACAGGGGCCCAUCCCACCCCGGCCCCCUGCGGGCAAGAACUGGGGCUGGACGACCUCACACGGCCAAGAAUGGGAGGCACAGAAAAAAGACCACGACAGCCUCCUACAGCCUUGACUUCCUGCUUACAGCCCCAGAAGGCUUCAGUCCACUCUUCACAGCCAGCCAGGAGCAUGAUCAGAACCAACAGGAGCACGACUUUCUCCUCCAGGAUGGUGGGACUGUCUUCAUGUGGCUGGAGUGUGGCUCUGGCGUGCCACACUCCAGCCAUCCUGAACCCCUGAAGCUCCCAGAGUGGCCACGUGGCCAUGUACCUUUUCACUGCCCUUUGUACCUGCUCGUGUCUCUGUCGUCAAGGCUCGCUCCCCUACACUCCAGGCUAACACCACUUGUUUUGAGUCUCAGGCGGCACCUCCUCCAGGAAGCCUUUCUUGGCCCAGCCCACCAUGGGUUCCCUUAAAGCCUUUACCCUACCCAGCUGGCAUCACAUCUCCUUGCCCCAGUCCCAACUAGACAAGGAACUACUCAAGAGCAACGCCACAUCUUGAGUAGUUCAUCUCAUUGUCCGCUAGAGUAACUAGCACAGUAUUGGGCACGUAAUAGGUGCUCAAUAAACGUUUCUCAGAUGAUCGGAUGAACACCCGGUCAUUUAGUUAUUGGCACAGGGCUAGAACUCAGACCUACGGUUCUGAAACCCCCGCCCUGUCCAAGACUCUAAAAUGAGCUCUAUUUUUUAGGACAUAGUGAAAUCACGGAAAAAAUUCUUAGGAUGUGCUCGGUUUAGAAACAACCUCCCUCCAGAGUUGAGUGACACAAAACUUCUCAAAGCCCAAUCGAGGUCAGCUGUGGCCUCACACAGGUAUCGGCUGGGCUGGGGGCCGUGUCAGGGUGAAGGAAAUCGUGGCGGUGCCUGGCCCUGGGUUAGGCGCUCUCUUUCCCGGCGAGGCCACCGUGGUUUCCGAGCUGCCCAGAGCAUCUCCCCGCGGCGCCCGCUAGUGGGCGCAAGGCCUUCUAGGAGGCGGGCGCUCCGGAGGAAGCUGUGACCGCCCCUAGCGCACCGCGCAUCCUGCAGGCAUUCAAAUCCCCGGGUUUUAGAAGGGCUCCGUUCUCCCGUCAAGACUCGAGCUCGACUGCCUCUUGGGCUGCACGGAGAUAAGGUGGAAAAGGCAGGCCCGUGGAGCCUGGGAGCCCGGGAAUCAAAUCUCUGCUCUGCCACUUCGCAGCGCAGCGCUGUGGCCGCGGGCGUCCCUCGAGCCCAGCCUCUCCCGCCAAAGGGAAAGGGAUGGCUGGAUCCACCUACCUGGCAGGGCCGCCGGGACACGCAGCGCAGCGCUCCGCUCAAUACACCACAGAUUUUACGGCUACUCAGCACGAGGCUGGUGGCUGUUUCACGUACAACACACGAGCCACACGUUUUUAGAGUAAAUACAUUUAUUCAUGGGAGCAGAGAUGCGAAACGCAGCCGGGUGACACGGGCCUCCCAUGGGUGGGUGCUUGGUCAGAGGGAAACGCCUCACCAAGGCUGGAAUUGGUCUGGGUGGACUGAGGCACGAAAGGAUCGGUAAGGAACUAGGUUCUCUUCCAAGGAUGGUGUCCGGGAGGGCGCAUAUUUUGGGCAAUUGGAAGGCUGCCCUGCACAAGCCGACUGCUGGACGCUGCUGUCUUGCCCUUGCCCAAGGGUCUGGGAUGACCAGCAAGCUCUGGGUGUCUGGGGAGGCAACUGCCGCAGGAAUCACAAUGAAUCCCCAAGACAGGCCUCUCACCUGUUUCCCCUGUUUUUUGUUUGUUUUUGAUACGGAGUCUCGCUCUGUCGCCCAGGCUGGAGUGCAGUGGCGCAAUCUUGGCUCACUGCAACCUCUGCCUCCCGGAUUCAAGCGAUUCUCUGCCUCAGCCUCCCAAGUAGCUGGGACUACAGGUGCCCGCUAUCACGCCCGGCUAAUUUUGGUAUUUUUAGUAGAGAUGGGGUUUCAUCAUCUUGGCCAAGCUGGUGUUGAACUCCUGACCUCAGGUGAUCCACCCGUCUUGGCCUCCCAAAGUGCUGUGAUUACAGGCAUGAGCCACCGCGCGAGGCCUCCCCUGUUCUUGAGGGGUGCUGUCCAAUACAGUAGCCACCAGCCAUAAGUGCUAUUGAGCAGCUGCAAUGUGGCUAGUGCAACUGAGGAAAUGCAUUCUAAACUUUAACUUUAAUUAAUUGAAAUUUAAAAAUAGAUAGAAAUUCCAUAACUGCAAAACCUUUCAGUAUUUCUGAAACAAUUUGAGGAUGUGAAUGUUUACGACUGUACAUUUAAUUAAAUCUAAAUACAGAUCAAGUUUUUCUGAUGAAAAUGUAGUAUCUGAAUUGGGCUCUAAGUGUAAACUCAUGGGAUUCAAAGACAAUAUGCAAAACAGAAUGCAGAAUGUCUCGAUAAUUUACAGUUGAAAUGAUAUUUUAGAUAUAUUGGGCUAAAUGAAAUGUAUGCUUAAAAUUAAUUUUAUCUAUUUCUUUUUACUUUUUUCUAAUGUGGCCACCAUAGAAAGCUACCUAUGUGCCUGCGUUAGAUUCCUCUUAGACAGGGCUGGCUUAGACCCUCUCCUGGGCCUUCUUCCCUCUGACCUCCCAUUCAGGCCUGGCCCUUUGGCUUUGCUUCAAGGUUUUGUCCGCUCUUUGGAGCUGCCAUGUGCUGGGUCAGACCAGAACCGGGGGCAGAGGCUAAAGGUGAGACCCACUCCCUCCUGUCCCAGAGCAAGGGGCUGGGGGCGGGGGUUGCCCUGGCAGCCAGGAGUUCUGGAGCCGGUGAUAUACCUGGGACAGUGGUGGUCAGGGUGAGCUUAGGCUGGGGUUAUGGUAAUGGUUCAGGACAACACCCUUCUUUGAGAUAUUGUUAACUGGUGAGGAAGAGGAGGAGCUCAGGGCUACAAGACACAGACUAAGUUUCUGUAACCACGACUCAAAAUCAGGCUUGGUCACAGGACUAAGCGAGGCACCUAAUUACUCUAAGUGCAGAUGAGGACAGCAACUUAAGUGCAAUUACUCUAAGUGCAGAUGAGGACAGCAAAUUCAGAGACCCUCAAGCCUUCCUUGAGGGUCUCUGAAUUUCACUGGUCAAAGAACAGGCAGUCCCCGGUCUGCAUUUGUGGCAGGAGCCCCAGCUGGGGCUGGGGAGCCCAGGAAGGACACCAGAGAGGGUUCUCACCCUUGCCAAAACCACAGCCCCACAGUGGCUUCAGCACCCAGCCCCGGUUUGGACCUGAGCUACCCCACAUCCUGGCCCCCACUACAGUGUGAACCAUGGCAUGUCCCAGGAGGGCCGUCUCUGCCUCCAGUCCCAAUUAGGCAGCCCCAAUAUAAGGGAUCCAGAGGGCUCUGGCUCAGACCAAAGGCAUCUGAAGGGUCCAUGUGGGAUCCUGGCUAUCCACCCUCUCCCUUGCACCUCAUUUUUUCCUGAGCUCCAAGGUUACACAAGUGGCAGGCUGCCCAGGCCAAAUUCCACGUCUGUCCCAAUCCUCGAUCCACUAACACACAAAACCAGGUCAGAAGCGGUUAUGCAGCCCUUGGGUACAAACAGCCAGCUUCCUGCACUCACUCACUGGGCUGGCUGUGUUUGCCAUACAAACAGGACAAAGUCCAGGCCUCCUGACCCCAGGGAAUAAAGCCUGCAGCUUUGCUUUGCUACACUUUAAAGUACAGGCUGCUUUCAAGUUAACCAGGCAGUCCUUCGUCUUCUCCAGCAAGGCUGAAUCCACAGUUCUCUGCUAGGGUAAGGGGGGCUCGUUCAGUUCAAAGGUUUGGGGACUCAGCUCCUGGCCCCUUUGCAGGGUUGCCUUAAGUUUUGGGUUUGACAACCCAGGGACUCUUGUGCACUAAGGUUUGGAGACAAACACUAGGAGAGGAGAAAAAGUGUGACCCAAAUAGUAGAAAGAAUUCUCUGAGACUCAGUUAAGGUUAUUUUAGCUCUGGUUAAACAUGCAUGUGCGUGCUCACACGCUCACACACACACCAUUGUAUCCUAAGCUGAAUGCUGUCUUUUCAAAAAUCUGGCCAUUGGCUCAUGCCUGUCACCUCAACACUUUGGGAGGCCGAGGUGGGAGGAUCACUUGAGCCCAGGAGUUUGAAACCAGCCCGAGCAACAUAGUGAGACCCUGUCUCUACAAAAAUUUAAAAAUCAUUUUUUAAAUAUAUACUUAUGCUUUCUCGCUACAGGUUUUUUAAUCCCAGCUGGUACGGCAGGGGAGAUGUCACCCAGGGCAGAGGCUGGGAGGCUUUCAGGCCACAGAUUUCCACCAUUUGCCAAGCUUCCCUGCUCUCCAGGGUCUCUCUGCAAGGAGCCCCUUAGGAGAAUGAAGAAGAUCCAUUUUGUUUUCUAUAAGAUAUCAACGAGGUACUUCUUGGUUUUAUUAGAUAUGAGAAUUAUCAAUUCAAGUCAGAAGUGCCACAACCACUGCCAUAUUAGAAAGAUUAGUACCCGAGAGCCCAGACUGUCACCCGGCUGGAGGCCUCUCGCCGAUGGCUCCCAGGGACCACUGACCUAAUCAAGGGCCUCCUCCUUCACACGCCACCCUCCACCCCAACCCCUUUAUGCCUUCUUAAAGUCCUUCAGGGAGGGGACCCACCAUCAAGAUUGUCCUUUCUGGCACCUAACUCUUCUGUCUGCUAGAAGACAGCAAUGAGACUGUCCCUACAACGAUGAUGCUUAUGGUGGCCACAUCUCAAAGAAGCUGAGAGGGAUCUCAGCCCCGUAUUGUCACUUGGGAGGCAGAACCCAAAUCUUAGUAAAUGAAGACUUUCUCUCUUGAACCAUUCACAGGAAUACUGAAGGUAAUGAAAAAAUAAUGUGUAAACCAUCCUUUGGAGCAGAGGCUACAAACUCACAUGCCCGCCUGGACCAGCACCGGGCAGACGUCUUACAUGAGUGAAGUGCAGUGGGGGAUGGGAAGGGCGGGGGAGGGGGUAAAGGUGGUGGGGGUGAGCCGCAGCAGACUUGAGAUGACAGCAUGCCCCAUCCUCCACCCAGAAAACUAGGUAUUUUUUAUACGUAAUCUCCCAAGUUUCAAAUAUUGGCAAUACAUACAAAAGGUUAUGAAGCCUUAUAACUUCUGCCUUAGGCAAAUUCCAAACUUAAACAAAGCUCCCUCUCCCACUAAAUAAGAAAACUUUAAUAAGAUGAUUACAAAGAAAUUAAUAAAGAAAUAGAAAAU